rnacentral:rRNA from 1 species
GUGUCAGCCGCCGCGGUAAUACGGAGGAUGCGAGCGUUAUCCGGAUUCAUUGGGUUUAAAGGGUGCGUAGGCGGUCUUUUAAGUCAGUGGUGAAAUCUUGCCGCUUAACGGUAAAAUUGCCAUUGAUACUGAAAGACUUGAGUACAGUUGAGGUAAGCGGAAUGUGUAGUGUAGCGGUGAAAUGCUUAGAUAUUACACAGAACACCAAUUGCGAAGGCAGCUUACUAAACUGGCAACUGACGCUGAUGCACGAAAGCGUGGGGAGCGAACAGGAUUAGAUACCCUCGUAGUCC